GAGUUUGAUCGUGGCUCAGGAUGAACGCUGGCGGCGUGCCUAAUACAUGCAAGUCGAGCGAACAGACGAGGAGCUUGCUCCUCUGACGUUAGCGGCGGACGGGUGAGUAACACGUGGAUAACCUACCUAUAAGACUGGGAUAACUUCGGGAAACCGGAGCUAAUACCGAAUAAUAUAUUGAACCGCAUGGUUCAAUAGUGAAAAACGGUUUUGCUGUCACUUAUAGAUGGAUCCGCGCCGCAUUAGCUAGUUGGUAGGGUAACGGCUUACCAAGGCGACGAUGCGUAGCCGACCUGAGAGGGUGAACGGCCACACUGGAACUGAGACACGGUCCAGACUCCUACGGGAGGCAGCAGUAGGGAAUCUUCCGCAAUGGGCGAAAGCCUGACGGAGCAACGCCGCGUGAGUGAUGAAGGUCUUCGGAUCGUAAAACUCUGUUAUUAGGGAGAACAAGUGUGUAAGUAACUAUGCACGUCUUGACGGUACCUAAUCAGAAAGCCAACGGCUAACUACGUGCCAGCAGCCG
rnacentral:rRNA from 1 species